AUACGUCAUCCCCACCUUCCUCCGGUUUGGCACCGGCGGUCUCCCAUGAGUCCCCGGCUUUACCCGCUGGCAACAUGGAACAGGGGUUGCGCUCGUUGCGCCACUUAAGGCAACACCUCACGGCACGAGCUGACGACAGCCAUGCAGCACCUGUGCCGGCUCCCGAAGGAGCGCUGGCUUUCACCAGCUUCACCCGGCAUGUCAAGCCCUGGUAAGGUUCUUCGCGUUGCGUCGAAUUAAGCCACAUGCUCCGCCGCUUGUGCGGGUCCCCGUCAAUUCCUUUGAGUUUUAGCCUUGCGGCCGUACUCCCCAGGCGGGGUGCUUAAUGCGUUAGCUGCGGCACGGAAGGGGUUGAUGCCUCCCACACCUAGCACCCAUCGUUUACGGCUGGGACUACCAG
rnacentral:misc_RNA from 1 species